UUUAUCUGAAACACGUUCAAUAUUAAUUAUGCAAUUAUGGAACUUUUAUUUUUAAUAUAAUUACCAAAUAGAUACCUGAUCCAUGAGACCAUAACCAACCCUACAUGGAAACUCUAUCCAUCAUAGAUCUCACAUGGUAUCAGAGAAAAUCAAGAAUCUCUUCGGUAAAAAGAAAUAGUAGCUGUUCAAAAGGGCGAAGAGAAGAAACAAACCCAUCGGAAAAUAAAGAAACUCCGGCCAUCUCCACAGCACGUCUCGCCCAACAAUCGGCUCCAAUAUCACCGUCGUCCUCCUAGCUACCAUCCCCGAAGCCCUGGACAUCUCCUAUUCCACAAAGGAAGAAGAAAUGGGGACGACUGGAUAUAUCUAUUUGAGAACGUCGGUGGAUUGAAAAGAAAGAAAGUCAGCGCGAGCUUCCGCGAAUCCUCUGCUCGAGAGAGUGUGUACGCCUCCGUUGUGAGAGCGAGCACGCAUCCGACAGAGAGACGCGAGCACGCCUUCCUUUCACUGAUUUCCUUUCACUGAUUUCCUUUCACCCCCGGUCAUCCGCGAGUGAGCUUCCUUUCCGCCCAACGAGAACUCCUCCUGCCGUCAAGACAGAUUUGGGUUGAUUCCGCAAGGGAUCCCCAAUUUGGGAUCGGCGAGUGGUGAGGGAUAUCGGCGAGUGGGAACACGAGAACUCCUCCAACCGCCAAGACAGAUUAGGGUUGAUUCCGCAAGGGAUCCCCAAUCUGGAAUCGGCGAGGGGCGAGGGGUAUCGGCGAGUAGGGGGGGUAUCGGCGAUUGCUGUGUGCUCAAAUAAACAACAUCUACGUUUAGAUUAAGUGCGUGUCAUUCAGAUAUAAUAUUGGAUAUUGGAUUAAGUGAAAUCUAAACUUAAGUAAACAACUUCUAUUAAGUGCGUGUCAUUUCACUUAUUGUGCAAUCAUUUACGACAGCGACUUAAGUGUGGAAUCGGUGACUGGUGAACUUAGUCAUUGUGGAAUCGGC
rnacentral:lncRNA from 1 species